GGAGGCUUAUUUCUCUCGUAGUAUCCAUGAGCGUCACAAACGGCUACGCCGCAAAUGUCUCGAUGUUAUGUCCCUACAGUUAUGUCAGGCAGCUCCGUGAAAGGAACAUCUCUGCAUUUUUGAAUUUUUGAAGGAUAACCAAAGCCACACUUUUCAUCUGGACUUUGGACACGAUACAACUUUUGCUGCAGUGAUUAGAGGUGCCGCCAUCUUGGUGUGGGUGUUACAUUCUACUCCUUUAAAUUUACCCCAUCUACAAAUAUGUAUGCAUCUUCUGCUGAUCAAAUGCAUCUCGUCCGUGAGAGGUAUCCACACGCCCGGAGAACAAGCUCCACAAUGACAUCAAUGGCGACAAACUUUAAGGGACCUGUGUGUGACUACCAGUUAGCUUGUGAGCGAUUCAAGAAUUCCUUGGGGAUCAGCG